AGCACUUAAGACUUUAAAUUGCAUUUACUUUCUCGUUUUGCGCAUAUGCACCCAUAUACACAUGCGCAUGCGCUCACAUAUACAGAUGCGCACGCGCACACAUAUACACAUGCGCAUGCGCACACUUGAAAGUCGGAAGAAUGACUUUCGAAAGUCAGUUCUCUCUUUCCUUCCAGCAUGUAUUGAACUCGCUUGACCUGCACUGGACUCCGAAUGCCUCCACAGUGCACUCUGCCCUCUGCUCUGGGUAACUAUUGGCUUGAAUACUACACCACCAUAGCAACAGCAGCGGCCAAAACUGUAGGGAUACAAACAAGUUGGAAGUGAGGAGAGCCGGUCAGAUUCCGAGCAGAUUAGCCAUCAGUGCCAACAGCCCACAUUCAAUGUCUUCCCUUGGCUCCUGCAAAUGAAGGCUGAAACCUACUUUCAGGGUCACAUAUCCCUCCACCCACCCACCCCCACCAGGCACUAGGAUAUCAGAAUGAUUGACAACUGAAUUCACUAGGGUAGGUUUCAACCACUGUAUUAAGCCCAGAUGCCAGGACUAUGAGAAAAGAGAACAAAAAUGUCCAGUGGGAUCCAUCUCAACCCGACAGUUUUGGAGAAAACACGGAAAUCUACCUGCUAGCUGCAUAGCAGAGACUACACUUCAUCCUGGGCUUUGGGUUGCGUGUAGCCUGUGGAUGUCUCUCAACAGCUGAAGGUAGAAAGGCCGUGAAGAAGUAGUGGCACCACGCUCGUCCUGUGAGGUGGUGCCUAGAAAACGUCGGAAAGUUCUCUCUACCUUUUUUGAAGUGGAUUUCCCGUCUUCCAGUUUCUCCAGUUAAGCCAUUUGGAGACUUGGUUUGCCCAAACAUACUCUUUAGCCUUUCGUUUCAAUCAGUCUACUCACUUUUAUAACCCACACAAUGCUUGGAAAGACAGAGAACAAGGCAGGUUUAAAGAAAUACUUGCUUUGUGGGUUUGUAUUAAGAGUAUUCCGCCACUUUGAGGACCCCACCAAGCAGGCCUGCUAUACAAUGUCCCUUUUAACAAAGAACUUGCUCAAAAUCUAGACCUAGUGGAGGCCAGGGCUUCGAUUUGAACCCAGUCCGUACAACUCUAGGAGGCCUCUACUCUUCCUGUUGCCCCUGCCCCUGGAUGGAUCCGAUUUCAAGUCCAGAACAGCAGCAGACAUGACAUAGACAUCAUUUAGAGGCAACAUCUUUAGGCUACAAAGUGGCUUAAAUAACAAGUAUUUUAAAACAAAGGACUGUGUCUGAACACCACACUGAGGUGUGGUGACUGUAAGAGUACCAUUGUCCUUCUAACAGGUCCUAAUGGAUGGGGAAGCUCGGGAGACUGAAGGAGGUGGGGAGGCUUCGCUGGGAUGGUAGGGCAGGCAGAUGCCAAGGCCAGGGAUACUCCCGACAGUGUUUGUCACGCUCAACAUUUUGCCAAGGGCAAGUUUCACUGGUGCCAACCAAGGCGUUCAAGUUCAGAAUUUUUAACAAGUAUUCUUAUGAGACGGACUUGAUAAAUUCCCCCAAUACUGAUACCACAAGACAAAGAGAAAUGAAGGCCGUUUUUGCUCAAGACACACCACUGACAAGACAUGGAAACAGUCUUACUUUGCCUCCUGGCUUCUCAAUGAGAGGAUUCGAAAGGCACAUGGUGGCCAAACUGUAGUACACCGGUUUCCAUUGCUGCUCCUGCAGAGGACAGAAGACAGAGGAGACAGAGAAGAGAUUUCAGGCUUGGAUUCUUCCCCACAGAGUGGAACCCUCUCCCUGCCAUUCAAAAACUCGCCUCAAGCACUAAACGUAAUGGGUGUCAUUGAAAUACCUGAGCCAGCGUUUUUUUUCCACAGGGCUCCUUCAGGCUGUUGUCGGUGCAAAUCCAUUUAACCUUUGCACUGGCACAAGUUAUAAAACCACUUACUCUGUGGGGGAAGAAUUCGGAGAUACAGGCUGACAGAAAUUCAGAACAUUUCUGCUUUAUCUGUUAAGGGACAUUUCUAGGACGAAGGUCAGAGCAUAAGACUCCAGACUCAUCUCGUGGAAAAACGGCACGGGGAAAUCUCUGACUUACUUAUGUGUUUUUAUUCCAGUGUGGCAGAAUUUCUGAAACUCUUGACUCGUUGGUCAGAAUUCACUGAAGACCCCAUCCCACCCCCGCUUGACGUUUUGAGCCCGAGUGCCAACUGUUUUUAACAAUUAUCCUAAAGCUCAAGCCACAUUGUUUGAUGUGAUUGCCAUAAGCCCCCAAUAGCUUUACUAUCACUAUUAUUAUAUGGUCACUCAUGGUUCUUACUACCUUUUCUCCACAUAUCUGCCUAGGAAGAUAGUGAAGAGAUCCCACCCAUCCUGUUCAAAUUCCCAAGGAAGCGCUGGCUGCCACAGGGGAGAGCAGAGUGAGUUCUCCCUCCACAGGUCCUACUCUGCCAUAUUGUAAGAGAGCAUUCCAUUGGGAAUGUGGGCUGUCUAGGACGAGACUGGAGCCGAGGUUUUCUCGUGUCUUUCAGCAUCUAGCCCUGGCCUUCCACAGCGUAGGUGUGCUUUCUCCUCCUAGGGAAACUUUCUUUUAGUCAACUGAAACCUUUCAUGUCUUUAUGAAUUUCCACAAUCUCCCCUUAGAUCUGUCUCCAACCCCAACUCCAGUUUCUCACUACAGGAAUUUAUUAGCCUCUCUUGGCAUUGUUAGAAAGGACAUCAAGAGACUUGUUAAUGACAAAUAAAAAAGAGAGACCCAAACGUAUCGGCACACACCAUAAAAAUAAAAAUGAAUGUUAAUAAUAAAUCAGCAAAUAUUGACACAUCUCCA